rnacentral:rRNA from 1 species
CAGGACGAACGCUGGCGGCGUGCCUAACACAUGCAAGUCGAGCGGGGACAUGCGACGGAUAGGAAGUUUCGGAUGGACUGAAGAUGCAUUGUUCUAGCGGCGGACGGGUGAGUAACGCGUGAGCAACCUGUCCCUUACAGGGGGAUAACACAGCGAAAGUUGUACUAAUACCGCAUAAGACCACGGGAGGACAUCCUUCAGGGGUCAAAGGAGGAAUCCGGUAAGGGGUGGGCUCGCGUCCGAUUAGAUAGUUGGUGAGGUAACGGCCCACCAAGUCGACGAUCGGUAGCCGACCUGAGAGGGUGAUCGGCCACAUUGGGACUGAGACACGGCCCAAACUCCUACGGGGGGCAGCAGUGGGGAAUAUUGGGCAAUGGGGGGAAACCCUGACCCAGCAACGCCGCGUGAGGGAAGAAGGUUUUCGGAUCGUAAACCUCUGUCCUUGGUGAAGAGGAAGAGACGGUAGCCAAGGAGGAAGCCCCGGCUAACUACGUGCCAGCAGCGGC